rnacentral:rRNA from 1 species
UACGUAGGGUGCAAGCGUUGUCCGGAAUUACUGGGCGUAAAGCGUGCGUAGGUGGUUUGUUAAGUCUGUUGUGAAAGCCCCGGGCUCAACCUGGGAAUGGCAUUUGGGACUGCAAGGCUGGAGUGCGGCAGAGGAGACUGGAAUUCCUGGUGUAGCAGUGAAAUGCGUAGAUAUCAGGAGGAAUACCGAUGGCGAAGGCAGGUCUCUGGGCUGACACUGACGCUCAUGCACGAAAGCGUGGGGAGCAAACGAGG